GUGGCUCAGUGGUAGAGUGCUUGCCUCAUAUGCAUGAGGCCCUGGGUUCAAUUCCUCAGC
rnacentral:tRNA from 1 species